GGUCAUACUUCCAAGAAAAGCUUGCACUGUCAUAGAUAAAAAACGCCUGUACCAUAACCGACACAGGUGGGUAGGUAGAGUAUACUAAGGGGCGCGAGAUAACUCUCUCUAAGGAACUCGGCAAAAUAACUCCGUAACUUCGGGAGAAGGAGUGCCUUAUUCGUAAGGUUGCAAUAACAAGAUCCAAGCAACUGUUUAUCAAAAACACAGGUCUCCGCUAAGUCGUAAGACGAUGUAUGUGGGCUGACGCCUGCCCAGUGCCAGAAGGUUAAAGAAGUUGGUUAGCAAUUGCGAAGCUGAUAACUGAAGCCCUGGUGAACGGCGGCCGUAACGAUAACGGUCCUAAGGUAGCGAAAUUCCUUGUCGGGUAAGUUCCGACCCGCACGAAAGGCGUAAUGAUUUGGAUACUGUCUCGGAGAGGGGCUCGGUGAAAUAGACUUGUCUGUGAAGAUGCGGACUACCUGCACCAGGACAGAAAGACCCUAUGAAGCUUUACUGUAACUUGAAAUUGAAAUUGGACUUUAUUCGCGCAGUAUAGGUGGGAAGCGUUGAUUAUAAUCUUGUGGGAUUAUUGGAGCCAUCAGUGAGAUACCACUCUUGUAAUGUUAGAUUUCUAACUUUGAAUCAUUAUCUGGUCAAAGAACAGUUUCAGGCGGGCAGUUUGACUGGGGCGGUCGCCUCCUAAACGGUAACGGAGGCGUACAAAGGUUUCCUCUGAACGGUUAGAAAUCGUAUCUGGAGUGUAAAGGCAUAAGGAAGCUUGACUGUGAGACCUACAAGUCGAGCAGGGACGAAAGUCGGUCUUAGUGAUCUGACGGUACUGAGUGGAAAGGCCGUCACUCAACGGAUAAAAGUUACUCUAAGGAUAACAGGCUGAUCUCCCCCAAGAGUUCACAUCGACGGGGAGGUUUGGCACCUCGAUGUCGGCUCAUCGCAUCCUGGGGCGGUAGUACGUCCCAAGGGUUGGGCUGUUCGCCCAUGAAAGCGGUACGCGAGCUGGGUUCAGAACGUCGUGAGACAGUUCGGUCCAUAUCCGGUGUAGGCGUUAGAAUAUUGAGAGGAGCCUUCUUUAGUACGAGAGGACCGAGAAGGACAUACCUCUGGUGUACCAGUUAUCGUGCCAACGGUAAACGCUGGGUAGCUAUGUAUGGAGUGGAUAACCGCUGAAAGCAUCUAAGUGGGAAGCCCACCUCAAGAUAAGUAUUCUCAUC
rnacentral:rRNA from 1 species